ACUGUCUCCUGCAAGGCUUUGAAGCAAGAAUGCUGUAGCUGUGUCCCUGUGCCCUGGGAGGGGUGCAUACCUCAGGAGGUGCCCCUGCAUUGCCAGGGAGGGGGAUGUGUCCAGGUGGGACCUGGUGCCCCCAGAAGUUUGCUUCCCAGCUGUUUGCUUGGCUUGUAACAGCAGGCAAGGGGCAGCUCCCCGAAGGGUGUGAACACAGGGUCCCAGCCUGGGUCUCGCUCCUGUGCCCCUCUCCAGGCCCUAGCAAGCUGCUCCCUGGCGCAGGGAGGACUGGGAAGAGGCACUGGGGCUCCGCCUGGAGAAGGCAGGCCCAGGGGCCUCGGCUGGGACACGCUGGGCCUCCCCUGCUUGGCACCCGGGGUCCUGCACCCUGCCAGGGAGGCCAACCUGAUCCUGGGUCUGCAUGCGAGGCCCUGCCAGCUGGCUCCACCACCUCCACCCAUCUGCCUCCUGCCCUCAGAAGCCGUGGUCUGGUCUCCGGGAUCAGAGCUGCAGAGAGACAAGGCGGCGGCGGCUGCUGUGCUGGGUGCAGUGAGGAA
rnacentral:lncRNA from 1 species